rnacentral:rRNA from 2 species
CAGGCGCGAAAACUUUACAAUGCGGGAAACCGCGAUAAGGGGACACCGAGUGCCAGCAUCCUAUGUUGGCUGUCCAUAUGUAUAAAUCACAUGUGUUAGCAAGGGCCGGGCAAGACCGGUGCCAGCCGCCGCGGUAACACCGGCGGCCCGAGUGGUGGCCACUAUUAUUGGGUCUAAAGGGUCCGUAGCCGGUUUGGUCAGUCUUCCGGGAAAUCUGACGGCUUAACCGUUAGGCUUUCGGGGGAUACUACCAGGCUUGGGACCGGGAGAGGUAAGAGGUACUACGGGGGUAGGAGUGAAAUCUUGUAAUCCCCGUGGGACCACCAGUGGCGAAGGCGUCUUACCAGAACGGGUCCGACGGUGAGGGACGAAAGCUGGGGGCACGAACCGGAUUAGAUACCCGGGUAGUCCCAGCUGUAAACUAUGCUCGCUAGGUGUCAGGGACGGUGCGACCGUUUCUGGUGCCGC